rnacentral:rRNA from 3 species
CACAACGACUCUCGGCAAUGGAUAUCUCGGCUCUCGCAUCGAUGAAGAACGUAGCGAAAUGCGAUACUUGGUGUGAAUUGCAGAAUCCCGUGAACCAUCGAGUCUUUGAACGCAAGUUGCGCCCGAAGCCUUUUGGCCGAGGGCACGUCUGCCUGGGCGUCACGCA